rnacentral:rRNA from 1 species
UGCGCAGGCGGGCUUGUAAGUCAGUGGUGAAAUACUGCCGCUUAACGGUAGAACUGCCAUUGAUACUGCAAGUCUUGAAUAUGGUUGAGGUAGGCGGAAUGUGUCGUGUAGCGGUGAAAUGCAUAGAUAUGACACAGAACGCCAAUUGCGAAGGCAGCUUACUAAGCCAUUGUUGACGCUGAGGCACGAAAGCGUGGGGAGCGAACAGGAUUAGAUACCCUGGUAGUCC